rnacentral:misc_RNA from 1 species
CGCAUAAAUGAGAAUUUAUGGGGCCAAAUGCCGAAAAAUCAGCUAAAAUAGUAUCUAAACAGCUGCAAAAUUUACCCAAUCCGCCUAUUGAAACUACGCAGAAAAAGAAAAGAAUCUAGUGGGGAAAACUGAAUCGUUUACCACAAACAGCUUAUUUCAUUUU